AGAUUAAGUUAUUAAGGGCGCACGGUGGAUGCCUUGGCACUAGAAGCCGAUGAAGGACGUUACUAACGACGAUAUGCUUUGGGUAGCUGUAAGUAAGCGUUGAUCCAGAGAUUUCCGAAUGGGGGAACCCAGCAUGAGUUAUGUCAUGUUAUCGACAUGUGAAUUYAUAGCAUGUCAGAAGGCAGACCCGGAGAACUGAAACAUCUUAGUACCCGGAGGAAGAGAAAGAAAAAUCGAUUCCCUGAGUAGCGGCGAGCGAAACGGGAAKAGCCCAAACCAACAAGCUUGCUUGUUGGGGUUGUAGGACACUCUAUACGGAGUUACAAAAGAACAUGUUAGACGAAUCAUCUGGAAAGAUGAAUCAAAGAAGGUAAUAAUCCUGUAGUCGAAAACAUAUUCUCUCUUGAGUGGAUCCUGAGUACGACGGAGCACGUGAAAUUCCGUCGGAAUCUGGGAGGACCAUCUCCUAAGGCUAAAUACUCUCUAGUGACCGAUAGUGAACCAGUACCGUGAGGGAAAGGUGAAAAGUACCCCGGAAGGGGAGUGAAAGAGAACUUGAAACCGUGU
rnacentral:rRNA from 1 species